rnacentral:lncRNA from 1 species
GUCGCUCUACGGGACCCAGGCUGGGAAGAGGGGGAUGGCAUCCACAUCUGCCAGGAGUGGGGACAAAAAGGACAUCAGGUCAUCUCAAGCUGCCGCCUCCUUAGGUGGAGGGCAGAAAGUCUCAUUAUCCUGCUCUGAAGAAUUCCUGACCCGAAUCAGCACAGAACUUACAGACGAAGCACUGUUUAUUGCUCGCUCCCGUUUGAGUCCUCUGCCCAAUAAGGAAAAGAACACAAAAGACCAAGGGACUCAGAUAUCUAGACAUGGUGAACGCUCUCCUUCUUCAUCUAGAGAGCAGUCCCUGACUCACUCCCAACCAUAGCUGCUUUCCCCAGGAAUCUUCUGCCUCCUUGCCCAUCCUAGGCACAGUGCCCCUUAACUUCUAACUCACUCAUUGUCACUACCCAGGAACCCCCUUGUCCCUACCUGCUCUAGCCACAACUCUUCUAAACAUGGGGAAAGUCGUUCCUUUAACUGGGGCCUCUAAUUCCAGUGUUCUUCACUAAGACCCGAGGCACUGACACCCGUUCCUGAUUCUCAGCCUAUUCUGUUGUCUUCUGUCAUCUCUAGCUCUGACAAAAAUCGAACCCGAACCAAGGCACACCUUCUGCCAUCUCCUCGUGAAAAGGGACCACUCCCCAACAGCCUGACAACUGGAGGAUGAGCUCGGCCCUCCCUAGUACUGCUCUCUCAGCUUCUUGCCUUCCCCCACUAUGUCCCUCAGUGAAAACCUCAAAGCCCCUCUUUUGCAACUAGCUAAGCCUCUCAUCUUGGGAGGAACUCCUGGUCAUAAGCAAUGCCACCUUUGAAACCAAGAAAAUCUUCUGGAACUGUCGCGGGGCCCUCCACCCUUCGUGGGCAAAUGCUACUGAGAAGAAAAGGUUUUAAUAAAGAACCAGGAUCCUCCCUUC